GAUAUAUCAAAAUGGAUGAUUUAGAUCACAGCAUGCACAUUGCAGAGUUCGACUGGACCAGCUUCUAUGAUCAGACUGAGGAGUGCAGUCUGCUGCAGCCUUCUCGCGCCUGCCCUGAUGACCUCAGUCUGAGUGACUCAGAGGACACAGACGAGUCAAGUUCCAUCAUCAGCACAGGCCGGCAGGAGAAGCAACAGAGCCCUGAUGUAAACAGUGGUGGAGCUGAGGCCACGGCUUCAGGCUGCGGCGAAGGAGAGGAGAGCUGCAUGAACUUAAUGAUGGAGUUGGUUGAGAGAGGUACCGGGGAAGAAAACAGCGCUGCAGAGGGGGCCUCUGAAGUAUGCCUUGAUUCUCCCACAGGAAAUACACUGAGCAUGAAGGAGGAGACAAAUGACAAUGCUGCAAACGCACUGCAAACUGAUACAAUACAUGAUCAGUGCUCAGGAGCUCCUACAGAGCUGAAAAAGGAGGAUGGAAAGCUUCGUGUCGAGGCAGACAAUACCACUGAUCCAUCAUGCGACCAAAUGGAAAACAACGUGAAUGAGCCUCACACCGCAGACAGAGCUGAAAACCAGGACAUUCAGAGUGUCCCUCCCAGAGUGGAGAAAGAGCGCUGGUUUGUGACAGUGAAUGACAGUCCAGCACAAAAGCAGGUGCGUACCACCUCUAUGAAAAAAAAACGAAGACAAAAAAAACUCUGUAAGAACAGUCACAGUCUGCGCAGCCAAACGGAGGAGAAAUCACAUGCAAAUGGCGUGGGGAUAAACAAAGGGAAAUAUAAACCAGGGGAGAAGGGACAUUUCCCCCAGUCAAACCAAAACCUUGCUCAAAACUCAUCAGGGGGUCAAAGUUUGAAAGUAAAUCCUGAACGCAUUUCAGAUUUGUUGCAAAUGGCUAAUGAAGAGGAGAAUGUGUCGGGAAACCUCACUGAGGAAGUGAUUUCUUAUCCCAUCCUCCAUAACAACACAGAGUCGACCACGGACAGAAACAAACAUCAAUCAGGCAGCUCAGCUUCCUCAUCACAUGACACAUGUACCCCUGAAGACUCCUCACAGCUGGAAAGUCCAGAGUCAGAAGAGUUUGAAGAUGGUGCGGAGUUCUUCUCCGUUCACAGUUAUGAUUCUGAAAGCUAUUUGUCUGCUGCUGAACUGAUUGAGGAAAAUCAAUCUGGGGAAACAACACAGCCGCUCUGCUCAGCACCUCUGAGUACAGAUACAGACAGUACACACGACAGACCAAUGCAUUCUUACGAUAGCACUUCCUUCUGCACUGUAGCAUUCAUCAACCCUGAACACACUGAUGCUCAUUCCACUCUCACAUUUCCACCUGCCCUCCAAAGAGCCAGUGAAAUGCCCCAUGACAGCUCUGCAUGUGAUAAUGACACACACAGCACACACUCACACACUCCUGGACUGGAAAGAUACAAAAUCAAUCUUUCAGCUUCUAGUAGCUCUGCAGGAGAGCAGCUGAAUCCCCUCCCUGCUCCAGAUUUGACUGCGACGCCUUUGGCUGACAGCCCUGAAGCAUACGCCAAAGCUGCAGGCCACACUCGACCCGUCUAUGCCAUUUCUGACUUUUGGGACGAAAUGGAGAAACUGACAAUAAAUGACAUUUUGCAGCUCAGGAUGGGGAGACGCAUUCCUCCC
rnacentral:lncRNA from 1 species